rnacentral:rRNA from 1 species
AUUGAACGCUGGCGGCAUGCCUUACACAUGCAAGUCGAACGGCAGCACGGGAGCAAUCCUGGUGGCGAGUGGCGAACGGGUGAGUAAAGUAUCGGAACGUGCCCAGUCGUGGGGGAUAACGUAGCGAAAGUUACGCUAAUACCGCAUACGAUCUAUGGAUGAAAGCGGGGGAUCGCGAGACCUCGCGCGAUUGGAGCGGCCGAUAUCAGAUUAGGUAGUAGGUGGGGGGAAAGGCUCACCAAGCCGACGAUCUGUAGCUGGUCUGAGAGGACGACCAGCCACACUGGGACUGAGACACGGCCCAGACUCCUACGGGAGGCAGCAGUGGGGAAUUUUGGACAAUGGGCGAAAGCCUGAUCCAGCCAUGCCGCGUGCAGGAUGAAGGCCUUCGGGUUGUAAACUGCUUUUGUACGGAACGAAAAGGUUUGGCCUAAUAAGCUGAGCUCAUGACGGUACCGUAAGAAUAAGCACCGGCUAACUACGUGCCAGCCGCCGCCGUAA